AUUGAACGCUGGCGGCAGGCCUAACACAUGCAAGUCGAGCGGAAACGAGUUGUCUGAACCUUCGGGGAACGAUAACGGCGUCGAGCGGCGGACGGGUGAGUAAUGCCUGGGAAAUUGCCCUGAUGUGGGGGAUAACCAUUGGAAACGAUGGCUAAUACCGCAUAAUAGCUUCGGCUCAAAGAGGGGGGACCUUCGGGCCUCUCGCGUCAGGAUAUGCCCAGGUGGGAUUAGCUAGUUGGUGAGGUAAGGGCUCACCAAGGCGACGAUCCCUAGCUGGUCUGAGAGGAUGAUCAGCCACACUGGAACUGAGACACGGUCCAGACUCCUACGGGAGGCAGCAGUGGGGAAUAUUGCACAAUGGGCGCAAGCCUGAUGCAGCCAUGCCGCGUGUGUGAAGAGGCCUUCGGGUGUAAAGCACUUUCAGUCGUGAGGAAGUAGUGUAGUUAAUAGCUGCAUUA
rnacentral:rRNA from 1 species